rnacentral:rRNA from 1 species
GCUUGUCUCAAAGAUUAAGCCAUGCAUGUCUUAGUGUAAAUAACUCUUAUGAAACUGCGAAUGGCUCAUUAAAUCAGUUAUCAAAUACGUGAUGGUCGCCUACUACAUGGAUAACCGUAGUAAUUCUAGAGCUAAUACAUGCACAAAAUCCCGACUUACGAAGGGAUGUAUUUAUUAGAUACAAACCAACAUCGUGGUGAUUCAUAAUAACUUUGCGGAUCGCAUGGCCUUGUGCCGGCGAUGAAUCAUUCAAAUUUCUGCCCUAUCAACUUUCGAUGGUAAGGUAUUGGCCUACCAUGGUUACCACGGGUAACGGGGAAUUAGGGUUCGGUUCCGGAGAGGGGGCCUGAGAAAUGGCCACCACAUCCAAGGAAGGCAGCAGG